ensembl:lncRNA
UGGCAGGCUUCCUUCACACUUCUCAGCACAGGCGGUAGAGUUGAUUGCACUUGCCGAGACAUCAAGGACGGCAGCCACCCGGAGAACAGCGAUAAAAGACAGAUCUCCAGCGCCAAAGAACACUUAGGAAGCAUGGUUGGAGCCUGAGAAUGAACAUGUGUUUAUCACUAUCACUGGCCACAUUUGUGCUGAUCCCACUCACGAUCAAUGAGCUACGACCUCCCUAUGUGAACACCACAGAUUCCGGCCUUCUCCACGCUCCAAUAGAGAAUUUCAGGAAGUUUCCACUGUCCAGCAAAACAAUGCGACAAGACAGAGUGUUUGCUCUACACAAUCGAACAUGAUGCAUGGGUUAAAAUAGAAAGUUACGUAAAUGAAAUUGUGUGUGUUGCCGGGUUGGGAGAUGAAUAUGUACUGUGGGGGGAAGAGUUUUGAUUUAGCAGAUCCACCAUUCUGGUGCAGUAAACCACGAUCGUGUCAGGAGAUACCAGCCCACACUGGCUCCAGCAACUGGAGGGAGGCAUGCAAAAGAACUUACCAGCCUGUCAGCGAGACACAACCUAAAACAGUACCACAUGAAA